rnacentral:rRNA from 1 species
GACGAACGCUGGCGGCGUGCUUAACACAUGCAAGUCGAACGGAAAGGCCCUGCUUUUGUGGGGUGCUCGAGUGGCGAACGGGUGAGUAACAUGUGAGUAACCUGCCCUUGACUUUGGGAUAACUUCAGGAAACUGGGGCUAAUACCGGAUAGGAGCUCCUGCUGCAUGGUGGGGGUUGGAAAGUUUCGGCGGUUGGGGAUGGACUCGCGGCUUAUCAGCUUGUUGGUGGGGUAGUGGCUUACCAAGGCUUUGACGGGUAGCCGACCUGAGAGGGUGACCGGCCACAUUGGGACUGAGAUACGGCCCAGACUCCUACGGGAGGCAGCAGUGGGGAAUAUUGCACAAUGGGCGGAAGCCUGAUGCAGCAACGCCGCGUGCGGGAUGACGGCCUUCGGGUUGUAAACCGCUUUCGCCUGUGACGAAGCGUGAGUGACGGUAAUGGGUAAAGAAGCACCGGCUAACUACGUG